UGACAAGCAUGGGUCCCCAUAUUUCUACUUAUUGGGCCACCCUAAAGACACGACGAACCCGCCUCCUGGAGUUCUGCCGCUGCCGCCGCCCCAGGUCUGCCGGAAAUCCACGAGGCACCAAGGCCCGGGAACAUCGACGUGAAGUCCCACGUGUCCGACGAGCAAGGGCGGCACAGCGUCCACGCGCAGACCCAAACUGAUCCUGAAGCCCCCGGUCCCAUUGUGGGGGCUUUGGCAGCUAUGGAAGAACCAAAAUAACGUGAAGAACAUCACAGAGACAGUGCAGUGUAGCUUUAGUAAAAAGAAAAAAAUAAAAUAAGAGAGAAAGAAAGAUAAAAAAUUCCCCCCACUGCAUGAAGGAUUUGGAUGUCAUCCAAACUUUAUAUCAAGAAACUGGACAAGUUAAGAGCAAUCACAAACUGGAAUAUCGCCUUAAAAAUCAAACUGCACGGAGCAAGCUGAAACUGAGACAAGAUUAUAUCUUUUAAUUGAUCUAAAGCGUUGUAAAUAAAUUGUUCUUGACAUAUCUAGACAGGGGUUAAAGGGUUUCUUUGAAACAUUCAGAACUGUUCGCCCAUGACACGUUUCCACGGCUCACCCUCGGCAUCCAUACUCGGUAUUAGCAGCAGCGUUCCCUGCGCACUGCAGGAUGAGUUAGCGAUCUAGUGAAUUCAUUGGUGUGAUGCCAUUUUUACUGCCAUUUCUGUGAUCAGAUCAUAUUUCUGUACAUUUUCAGUGGUAGGAAAAAAAAGGUUUUAAAAAUUGUAUCCUAGGGAACAGUUUGCCAUAAGUCAGAAUUUUGCAGUUUAGCUCAUAGAUCUUAAUUGGUUUUCCUCUAAAAUAUGAAUUUCGUAAUUGAAGGACCACAAUUUGUUUAAUCAAGAUUGGCAACGCUGCAGUUCCUUUAUGGAAAGUCUUUUCUAUUGUUCCAGGCUAGCAGAGAUAGAUAGCUUCGUUGUCAGCAAUGUUGUAUUUCACUUAUUUUAUUGUCUUAUUUUAAACCCUCUUUCCAUGACUUCAUUUGCACUUUGACAGAGCAGAGGCAAAGUAUUUGUCGUAUAUUUCUCAGAUUAUAAUGAAUCUCUAAUAUUAAAAAAUCAUUAUUAUAACCAAUUUAUUUUCAUUAAAGAACAUGAGUCUUUUUAGCAUUCCUUUCUGCUUAUCUUUCUUUCCUUAAUUCUUUGUCUUUUUGUUUCCAUUUGGUUUGCUUUUGUCUUGUAUUCUCUGCCAAUUUUUUAUUUCGUUAGCAACCUCUAAUGUUUCUGUUUAUCUCCACAGAUCUAUGAUUGAUCCCCUAGUAAAAUUCUAAGUCUUGCCUUUCUUCCCUGCUGUUUUACUAUUUCUUUGUAAAAUGUUAGCUUCCAUUAAUUAUCCAUUGGUACUUAUUGUAGCUACACAUAUUAAAUGGCAAAAUGUUUCUGAAGGCAAUUUCUUUUUAAUAUGCCCUGAAUGAAUGAGGCUUCAUUCUUCUCAUAUUCUGCCUCCUUACCGGAGUUCAAAUGCAAAUAAGCCUCACCUCCCUGCACUUGUAGUCUUAUAAGUAAAGGGGGAGAUCAGGUCCAUCACAAAGGUCACACAGAAUAGCCUCCCUGGGCUGACUCAUUCCCUCUCUUUGUAAUUGCAGUAAGCUGAGCACUAGCAGUUUAAUUUCCAUCAGACAUUGGAGUAGCUUUAGUUGUUUGACAAGGAGAGAAUAUAGUCGAAAGCCUCACGUGGAGGGUCUUGCAGCUUGUAAAAGCAAUUUCCAAAAAUGAAACCCAUUCAUCAUAAACAAAAGCACAAACACAUGUAGCAGUUUAUAAUACUUUUGGUUUAAUCUCAAUUAGUCUUUCUCCCCUGGACUAGAAAUCCAGUAUAGUUUGCCAUUAAUUUAUUGAAUCUGGUUUUGGACAAUGCUUCUGUAGUGUAGCUGCACGUCCUGGUACUGUAUCCUCUGACCUUUAUUUUCCAUGUGUUACAAAAGGAAAAAAAGAUUGAGAUUACGCUGGCAUAAACUCUAAUUUGCACAGUUCACAGCUACUACUUGUGCAGUAAUUGCUUUAUGCGGCUGUAAUCCAUAACCUGUGAAGACAGCACAUCAUCUAAAUCCCAUUCCAAAUAAUAUUUCUGUGUAGUGUUAGCUGUGAAUUUACCCUGUACAGCUGUAUCUCUAUAAAUAUAAUUCCAUGUAUUAAUAGUCACAGAAAGACUGUAAGUGAGCAACUAUUUUUAUGAAACGCACCACUAUGGAUAAAUUAACUUUUACAGAAAUCUUGUUUACUGUAUGAUAUUCUAAAACACUGUCAAAUAAAAUAUAUAUCCAAAAA